GGUGGUCAAGGGUGACCAGUGGUGAUGAUAGAGUAAUGAGUAUAUGUUUAUAUAUUUUUAAGUUUCUUUAUAUUUUAAUAGCUUUGUCAAAGUCUUUGAUUAGGAAAAUAUUUUCUGUUGACUAAUUUUCUUAAGGACCCAAAGUGCUAGAAAAUAUGAAAAAUAUUUUUCAGGAAAAUAGCUUCCGUGAAACAAACGAUGUUUAAGACUAUUCAUAUUAUUUCUAGGAAAUUGUCUCAUUGAUUUUUCUCUUCUAGCUUCAAACUCUGCCUUCUUUCUACCAUCACCUUAAUUUCCACGAUAUUUAAUAAGCAUAGAAGUGAAAAAAAAAGAUCUAAAAGUUUGACAUUUUAUUGAUCAUGUUAACAGGUAAUAGUGAUAUGUAAAUGCCUUUAGCCAACUUCUUAUGACAUUAGUAUUUUAUAGGAAAAUAAGUUAGUUUUCAUUCCUUCCCUCUUUAUAUUUUCAUAAGAUUUUAUUCUUUUUGCCAUAUGUUUUUAUA
rnacentral:misc_RNA from 1 species